rnacentral:rRNA from 1 species
GAUGAACGCUAGCUACAGGCUUAACACAUGCAAGUCGAGGGACCGGCGCACGGGUGAGUAACACGUAUCCAACCUGCCCUUUACUCGGGGAUAGCCUUUCGAGAGAAAGAUUAAUACCCAAUAUGAAGGAUGGGGAUGCGUUCCAUUAGGUUGUUGGUGAGUGAACGGCUCACCAAGCCUUCGAUGGAUAGGGGUUCUGAGAGGCAGGCCCCCCACAUUGGAACGGAGACACAGUCCAAACUCCUACGGGAGGCAGCAGUGAGGAAUAUUGGUCAAGGGGCGCUAGCCUGAACCUGCCAAGUAGAGUGAAGGAUGAAUGCUUAUUGGUCGUAAACUUCUUGUAUAUAAGAAUAGGUAUUAUAUGAAUAAGGAUCGGCUAACUCCGUGCCAGCAGCCGCGGUAAUUC